CUAGGUAGGGUUCUUGAGAGCAAAAUUGUCCUAAGCAUUAUAUGCAUACAUGGUGUGGUACAUAGAGCACGUUGAAUUCCACACUAUAACACAAACCCAGAAAGACAAGUAAUAACUCAACUGAUAUAAAGACAAAAAGAAGAUAAAAUGAUAUAGAAAAAAGAAUUUCAAAGAGACAGCAACAUACGAUAGACUGAAGCCACUUGAUCUGCUCACUGAUUGCAGCCUUAAACUUACAAAUAGUUACUGUACGCUAGUGCUCUAAGAAGUGAAAAUGAUAAGAGACCUGAUUCCCUUUUGACUUCCAUUUACUGUCAAACAUUCUAGUAAUACAAAAAAUUGUUUAGAUAUCUUGCUAUAAAUAUAGUCGUUUGACUGUCAUAAUAAAGUCACAAAUAACCAUUCAUAUUGAUCCACUGUCACACAGCAUGCUUUAUGCAUACAACAUCUGCAUGUAUACCAACUCCUAACCUUAUCAAUACAUUUGGCAAAAACUUAAGAAGAAAACUAUUUCUCCAUCUCUUUUUUGAAAUUUCACAAUAAACCAGCACAUUGUGAAAGCUAUGUUCUAAUCUUAUGAUAAAUGCUCUAGACUCCAAAAGGAUUUUAUAUAUGAGAGUUUGUUGCAGCAGAUAUAUUGACUUAUCAAGUAUGAAUCAUUGUCUGGAUGAACUAUCUUUAAAUAAAAGAAUAUUAGAACCACUGUAGAAUAUCUUUACGCUGCUGGUUCUAACAGGAAUCUGCAUGUGGCAACAAUUGCUAGAUCCACAAUUCCCCAACUUGAAAUACAUAGUUGCACACCGUGAGAUAGUGCUGCAAUCUACUGAGAUCUAACUUAUUUGAUACUUUAAGCUACUAAUGUUUGCAUAUUUCUACAUGUUAAAUUGACACUACCAUCUAUAAUCACCCCAAAACGACAAAUGAUAAGCAGCUUUUGGCCACUUAUUAAUUACUAGCAUCCACAACACAAUUAUAAAUAAGAGAUCAUGGGUUUACUUGUUGCAACUACUUAAUGAUCUGCAUUUGAGACCCUGACGCAAGGUUUAAAUAGUGACUGCUUAGAACCCUUGUAGUUGGAUCUUGACCUCUCCCAUUGUAGCCAAGAUUGGCUACUCUGGUAAUGAAUCAACACUCUCCUGCU
rnacentral:lncRNA from 1 species